rnacentral:rRNA from 1 species
AUACAGAGGGUGCGAGCGUUAAUCGGAAUUACUGGGCGUAAAGCGCGCGUAGGCGGCUUAUUAAGUCAGAUGUGAAAUCCCCGGGCUCAACCUGGGAACUGCAUCUGAUACUGGUAAGCUAGAGUUUUGGAGAGGGAAGUAGAAUUUCAGGUGUAGCGGUGAAAUGCAUAGAGAUCUGAAGGAAUACCAGUGGCGAAGGCGACUUCCUGGCCAAAAACUGACGCUGAGGUGCGAAAGCGUGGGGAGCAAACAGGAUUAGAAACCCUAGUAGUCC